rnacentral:rRNA from 1 species
CCUACGGGAGGCAGCAGUGGGGAAUAUUGGACAAUGGGGGGAAACCCUGAUCCAGCAAUGCCGCGUGAGUGAUGAAGGCCUUAGGGUCGUAAAGCUCUUUUACCAGGGAUGAUAAUGACAGUACCUGGAGAAUAAGCUCCGGCUAACUCCGUGCCAGCAGCCGCGGUAAUACGGAGGGAGCUAGCGUUGUUCGGAAUUACUGGGCGUAAAGCGUGCGUAGGCGGUUAUUCAAGUCAGAGGUGAAAGCCCGGGGCUCAACCCCGGAACGGCCUUUGAAACUAGAUAACUAGAAUCUUGGAGAGGUCAGUGGAAUUCCGAGUGUAGAGGUGAAAUUCGUAGAUAUUCGGAAGAACACCAGUGGCGAAGGCGACUGACUGGACAAGUAUUGACGCUGAGGUACGAAAGCGUGGGGAGCAAACAGGAUUAGAUACCCUGGUAGUCCACGCCGUAAAACGAUGAUAACUAGCUGUCCGGACACUUGGUGUUUGGGUGGCGCAGCUAACGCAUUAAGUUAUCCGCCUGGGGAGUACGGUGCAAGAUUAAAAACCUCAAAAGGAAUUGACCGGGNNGAAGAAGUGCGAGACGACACGAGGGAGAGG